CGAUGCCAGAGUGUUUGCCUUCUGUGGCAGAAACCUGAACCUUAUGAACAUUCUUUGUUGAACUUGACUUUGGUUCCGGAAGUUACUGGAUGAUCAAGAUUACCUACAGGACCUGUAUGUUUGGUGGAUUUGGUGGAAAGUCCUGGCAGCUUCCUGUUAUCCUCCGUCUCCUGAACCAAGGCAGAAGCGUACCCUGUCCACCCUCCAACUAACUCCUGAACUCACCAGAACUCAAUCUACAGCUCAAGUAAACCAUCUGGAUUUUCUCUGCUUCACACACCUGGGUCCCGACUCCCUUUACCCCUGCCGACCUGACUUUCCUCACUUAUUGGCGAUCCUACUGUUCACGUUCCAGUUUCACCAUUUGUAAAUAAAACACCUUUCACUGA